UAUACAAGUAUGGCAGUUAACUUAUGGGUAAGUUAAAAGAUAUACAGGUAAAACUGCAUCCAACAAAGUAUUUUAACAUUAGAAGAUAUCCCAUCGGCAAUGAAUGCACAUUAAGAACAAGCAAUAAUUGCCAUGUGCAGAAAAUUGAGACAUGUGGUGCCGAAAACCUGCUUGCCUUUUGAAUAUUGACGUCAAGAAAAAUUCCAGUCUAUACUUUUGUCUUAUGUGUCAGGAGGGUAGAAUAUGAAAGUAGAGGUGCAACACGAUGUUUAUGUAGUAGUCCAUUAUGAAU
rnacentral:lncRNA from 1 species